UAAAAGUAUAACGUAAGCUAAGUUGAAAAUAAUUCCAAAAUCUAUAGUUCUCUCCUCUCUGUUUAUCUUCUUUAUCUUCUUCUUCUUCUUCUUCUCCUCAAAUAAGCAACUAUCA
rnacentral:ribozyme from 14 species